CUCAGUUACUGUUAUUAAAAAUUCUCCUCACAAUUUUAAUUGUUAAUAAAAUUCAAUGCUAAAAUACACUCCUACCAAAAGGGGGUCCGUUCAAAAUACAAAGAACCAGUGGGGGUUGGUACAGAAAUAGGAGAGUUUGAAACAAAAGAACAGAGUCUAAGUUAGGUAUUUGGGUAGGCGGGGACAAUAGUGCAGGGGGAGUGCAAAUACCAGCUAUACCAGUUUUAGCUUGGGAG